CUAGAAAACCGAGGGCUUUUCAAAGGAGUUGUCGCUUUGCAGCCGGUGGACGUCUUCUCGGUUCCUCUGCGGUAUCUGGACGUUAACGGUGUCUGUAUCUGGACGUUAACGGUGUCUGUAUCUGGACGUUAACGGUGUCUGUAUCUGGACGUCGACGGAGGGAGACACAGUGACUGAAUACAUCCAGCGGAGCAAGCUGUCGUCUCUAAACCCGAGAAACAUGGCCGAGAAACACCAGACUUUUGCAACAAGGGUGAACGUGGAGGAGGGAAGCCAUCUUCAUUUCUUGGUGAGUUGAGCAAUACACUGCAUGCACAAAAAGUCAGCAUGUUCAUGACAUUAACAAGGAUGUGCAACUUUUUGUUUUCA